CCUACGGGUGGCUGCAGUCGAGAAUCAUUCACAAUGGGGGAAACCCUGAUGGUGCGACGCCGCGUGGGGGAAUGAAGGUCUUCGAUUGUAAACCCCUGUCCUUUGGGAGCAAAUUAAAAAGAUAGUACCCCCAAAGGAAGAGACGGCCAACUUGAUGCCAGCCGCCGCGGUAAUACAGAGGUCUCAAGCGGUGUUCGGAAUCACUGGGGGUAAAGCGUGCGUAGGCUGUUUCGUAAGUCGUUUGUGAAAGGCGCGGGCUCAACCCGCGGACGGCACAUGAUACUGCGAGAAUAGAGUAAUGGAGGGGGAACCGGAAUUCUCGGUGGAGCAGUGAAAUGAGUAGAUAUCGAGAGGAACACUCGUGGCGAAGGCGGGUUCCUGGACAUUAACUGACGCUGAGGCACGAAGGCCAGGGGAGCGAAAGGGAUUAGAUACCCGGGUAGUC
rnacentral:rRNA from 1 species